rnacentral:rRNA from 1 species
CUCUGUGACUCCUACGGGAGGCAGCAGUGGGGAAUAUUGCACAAUGGGGGGAAACCCUGAUGCAGCCAUGCCGCGUGUGUGAAGAAGGCCUUCGGGUUGUAAAGCACUUUCAGUAGGGAGGAAGGUAGUGUAGUUAACACCUGCAUUAUUUGACGUUACCUACAGAAGAAGCACCGGCUAACUCCGUGCCAGCAGCCGCGGUAAUACGGAGGGUGCGAGCGUUAAUCGGAAUUACUGGGCGUAAAGCGCAUGCAGGCGGCCUGUUAAGUCAGAUGUGAAAGCCCGGGGCUUAACCUCGGAAUUGCAUUUGAAACUGGCAGGCUAGAGUCUUGUAGAGGGGGUAGAAUUUCAGGUGUAGCGGUGAAAUGCGUAGAGAUCUGAAGGAAUACCAGUGGCGAAGGCGGCCCCCCUGGACAAAGACUGACGCUCAGAUGCGAAAGCGUGGGGAGCAAACAGGAUUAGAUACCCUGGUAG